GAUGAACGCUGGCGGCGUGCUUAACACAUGCAAGUCGAACGAUGAAGCUCAGCUUGCUGGGUGGAUUAGUGGCGAACGGGUGAGUAACACGUGAGUAACCUGCCCUUAACUCUGGGAUAAGCCUGGGAAACUAGGUCUAAUACCGGAUAGGAGCGCCUACCGCAUGGUGGGUGUUGGAAAGAUUUAUCGGUUUUGGAUGGACUCGCGGCCUAUCAGCUUGUUGGUGAGGUAAUGGCUCACCAAGGCGACGACGGGUAGCCGGCCUGGGAGGGUGACCGGCCACACUGGGACUGAGACACGGCCCAGACUCCUACGGGAGGCAGCAGUGGGGAAUAUUGCACAAUGGGCGAAAGCCUGAUGAAGCGACGCCGCGUGAGGGAUGACGGCCUUCGGGUUGUAAACCUCUUUCAGUAGGGAAGAAGCGAAAGUGACGGUACCUGCAGAAGAAGCACCGGCUAACUACGUG
rnacentral:rRNA from 1 species